rnacentral:rRNA from 1 species
GUAGCUUGCUACUUUGCCGGCGAGCGGCGGACGGGUGAGUUUGUUUUUGAAACUGCCUGAUGGAGGGGGAUAGCUACUGGAAACGGGAGCUAAUACCGCAUAACGUCGCAAGACCAAAGAGGGGGACCUUCGGGCCUCUUGCCAUCAGAUGUGCCCAGAUGGGAUUAGCUAGUAGGUGGGGUAACGGCUCACCUAGGCGACGAUCCCUAGCUGGUCUGAGAGGAUGACCAGCCACACUGGAACUGAGACACGGUCCAGACUCCUACGGGAGGCAGCAGUGGGGAAUAUUGCACAAUGGGCGCAAGCCUGAUGCAGCCAUGCCGCGUGUAUGAAGA